rnacentral:lncRNA from 1 species
UCAUUCUUUUUGGAUGCUGACCCCUUAUCAGUAGGAGGAGAUUUUCUUGUGACACUUGAAUGGGUAGUACCAGAAGCUUGAUUCGAGAACCGAUUAUUGCGUCCCUUUGUCUUUUGUUGUUUCUCCACUUUAAGAGCAAGUUUGCAAACAUCUUGAUAAGUCCAGAAAGGUUGCAGAUUGACGACAUCACUGAUUUCCUCCUUUAGUCCAC